rnacentral:lncRNA from 1 species
GGAGAACAGAAAGCAGGAAAGGGAGAGGCGAGGAUAGGGGACCCUGAAGUGAGGGCGAAAGCCAAAAAGCUCAGGAGAAAGUGCAUACAGGGCAGGACCCGUGGGGAACAGAAGUAAGACACAGCAGAGGCAAGGAGAGGGAAGGGGAACUCAGCAGAAAGUAAAAUGAAAACAGACAGUGCAGGUGGAGGAGACCCAGAAGCGACGGCCACUGUCACUUGGCACCUGCAGCCUGUGAGUCUCCUUGUCCCUCAUGGAGCAACUGGGCAGGAAUUCACAAGCUAAACUGUCAAAGCUCCAUAGAGCUCUUGUUGCUCCUCCCUGUAGGACGAGAACCUACCCUCGUACAGUACAACUGAUCUCUGGCUCUCAGCAGACCCGUCACCGAGAACCAUGCCAUCCCACCUGGCCAGCUGCCACGAACCCCUUUGGAUGCAAUACACAGCCUGAAGCUGCUCACUUCUGUGGAUAUUGCCCUCCUGGCUACGCUGCAAGAGAGAGCCCUGCUGACUAGAGUUCCCCCAGCCCUAAUCCUACCUGGUUACGGGUCCUUUUCUUUUCCCACCACGUGUGCUGCCAAGCUUGCCCAGUGAGUUUGGCUCAUGAUGUUAUCACAACAUAGGGUUAAUUUUACGGGUGUCUCUCUCCGUGGUAAACAAGUUAUUCACAUUAUCUGUCAUCCCCAUUAAUCCUGCUCGGGGAAACUGGAAGGAGCAGCUUUAAGUGGUUACGCUUUGCCCUGUGUGACCCCACCCCUAGAGCU